rnacentral:rRNA from 1 species
AGGACGAACGCUGGCGGCGUGCUUAACACAUGCAAGUCGAACGGUAAGGCCCCUUCGGGGGUACACGAGUGGCGAACGGGUGAGUAACACGUGGGUAAUCUGCCCUGCACUUCGGGAUAAGCCUGGGAAACUGGGUCUAAUACCGGAUAUGAGCUCCUGCCGCAUGGUGGGGGUUGGAAAGUUUUUCGGUGCAGGAUGAGUCCGCGGCCUAUCAGCUUGUUGGUGGGGUAAUGGCCUACCAAGGCGACGACGGGUAGCCGGCCUGAGAGGGUGAUCGGCCACACUGGGACUGAGACACGGCCCAGACUCCUACGGGAGGCAGCAGUGGGGAAUAUUGCACAAUGGGCGGAAGCCUGAUGCAGCGACGCCGCGUGGGGGAUGACGGUCUUCGGAUUGUAAACUCCUUUCAGUAGGGACGAAGCGAAAGUGACGGUACCUGCAGAAGAAGCACCGGCCAACUACGUGCCAGC